rnacentral:rRNA from 1 species
AGAGUGAACGCUGGCGGCAGGCCUAACACAUGCAAGUCGAGCGGCAGCGGGUCCUUCGGGAUGCCGGCGAGCGGCGGACGGGUGAGUAAGGCAUCGGAAUCUACCCUGAUGUGGGGGAUAACCUGGGGAAACUCAGGCUAAUACCGCAUACGACCUACGGGUGAAAGCGGGGGACCUUUCGGGGCCUCGCGCAGCAGGAUGAGCCGAUGUCCGAUUAGCUAGUUGGUGGGUAAAGCCCACCAAGGCGACGAUCGGUAGCCGUCUGAGAGGAUGAUCGGCCACACUGGGACUGAGACACGGCCCAGACUCCUACGGGAGGCAGCAGUGGGGAAUAUUGGACAAGUGGGGGACAACCCUGGAUCCCAGCCAUCGCCGCGUGGUGAAGAAGGCCUUGGGUAGUAAGCCGUUUGUAACGGAAGUAAAUCUACCGU